rnacentral:rRNA from 1 species
UACAGAGGGUGCGAGCGUUAAUCGGAUUUACUGGGCGUAAAGCGUGCGUAGGCGGCUUUUUAAGUCGGAUGUGAAAUCCCCGAGCUUAACUUGGGAAUUGCAUUCGAUACUGGGAAGCUAGAGUAUGGGAGAGGAUGGUAGAAUUCCAGGUGUAGCGGUGAAAUGCGUAGAGAUCUGGAGGAAUACCGAUGGCGAAGGCAGCCAUCUGGCCUAAUACUGACGCUGAGGUACGAAAGCGUGGGGAGCAAACAGG